UAUAGAGAGAUUACAUGUACUAAAGAGUGGUUGUUUUGGUUUUGCGGAGUUGCAGGGGUUAUUCUAGUAUUCACUUCGCAAGAUUUGAAGCAAAAUCCAUUUGUGUGUGAUGGCUACUCUGGUAUAUAGAAACAGAAACCUUGUUGAAGCAAGAUCUCUUCUCCACGUCGCCGUCUCCUCCUCCCACCCCGAGGUGGUCAAACUACUCUCUGCCGCCGCUGAUGAAUCAGUGGUGAAUGGUAUCGAUGAAGAAGGUUGGGCUCCCAUUCACUCAGCCGCCAGCAUUGGUAAUUUGGAAAUUAUGGAAAUCCUGUUGAGUAAAGGAGCAAAUGUGAACUCUUGAUUGAGGAAGGGGCAGAAGUUGAUGCUACCGAUAGAGCUAGACAAACUCCUCUGAUGAGCAGAUGUAUGAAAUGGCUUUGGGGUACACUGCUUGUACAUAUGCUGCUGACAACUUGAUUUUCACGCUUGAAGUUGUUAGGGCUAUUGCAAAUAAACAUGGCCUGUUGGCAACGUUUGUCCCCAAGCGAAGACAUGGAGAUCCGGAGGCUUGGCUGCGGUGCAAACAUGGAAGGAUUUUUAGGGUUUCCUCUCUACUGGAAACGUUGGGCCUCUAUCUUGUUUGGGCCAUAUAGGCCUACUGGGCCCUUUUUUAUUAUUUGGUUAGACCCGGCCAAAAUCGGGUAUUACACUAAUGAUAACUUCCUAAGAAAUCAAUUGGGAAUCUUCAAUCUGAACAAAAAUUUGCUUCAAAGUUGGAUUCAA